UAUCUUAAAAUUUAAUUCUUUUAUCCAUUAAUUUGAAAAACUAUUUUUUAUAGACAUUAAAAAAAAAAAAAAAAAAGAUGAUUAAUAAAUAAUAAAUUAAUUUCUUACUUUUUUUGGGUGGUUUGCGCUUUGCAAAACACUGAAACGGCGUCGUAUGGAUUUCCUCCUGUAUGGAUAAGGAUAUGAUUGGCACCCACCCAACACCCACUUUCUCUUCAUUUCCUUCCUCCCACCUCAUCCAUCCAGACUGGUUAGUUUCUGAUCGUUCAACCGUCCAGAUAACGACGCUCCUCAUUUUGCCUUGAAUUCCAAGUUCUUUGAGAAAAUCUUCAUUAUCAACCAGAACCUACACGUAUAAGGGGAAAAGAAACAUAAGGCGAGACCAAAGAUGAUGCAGAAAAACCCACCUAAACAUAUGAAUUACAGGCAAUCAAACUUUACAAGGUUGGAAUGGUGUCUUGCCAAAUAUCUCGUUUUUGUUAAACAUUAGACUCUUUCAAAAUCACUCACAAAUGGGCUUUUAAUGCUUGAACCAAUUUCAGCAACCCAAGUCUUUAUUUUAGUAUUUAUGUUGAUAGGCAAUUGCUAUAUAGAUGUGUGUUACAUCUUUUAAAAGCAGCAGUUUGUUGAAAAACAUACAGAAAGCAAGAAUAUAAGUUAAGUUACUAGUACAAGAGAAAAACUUACUGUCUUCCAGCCAUCUGGAUCCAGAAAAGAGGUGAUCUUGGUGUUGAGUCCAGGAAUUGGUCCUGGUUGCCUAGUUAUCUUUCCUCCCAGCUCUUUGGUAACCAAGUUGACAACCUCAGCACUCUUGUAUACAUCAUCAGUACUGAUAGCAACCUAGAAUGGGUAUAACAUUUAUCAUUACUGGAAAAACAGAAGUGGGAAUGGACACAACUACAACAUGCAUCAGUGGGGAAAGCAGAAGUGCACUGAAAUGAAGAUAAAUAUGUUCAAGGUUUCCGAAAGAGAGGUACUGAACUAACCUGUGCAUAUGCGUUUCCUUUGGUAUACUCAGUGACACCAUAAUUGUAUGUCAACUCCAGAACAGUUGUUUCAUGUUCCUCUGCAUAUCCCAUCAUGGCUAUGGAGUACUGUAAAAUAUAUGCAGCUCAAGUGAAGGGAUUUCACAAACCUCAAAAAUAACUGUGUUUCCAAAGGAAUACUUUUACAUGAGAACACAUGAAGAAACGUUGUUUACCUUGUAUUCAGGUCUGUCAGUCUUCUUUACCAUCUUCAUCCCCAAGGCCUGCAUAAGGGGAAAAACAGAACGGGCAGAAACAUCAAAGGAUCAAAUGGCUAGAUGGAUUUGAUGAGAGAAAUUAUUCAGAUUAGGAUGGGAACAAAUUUAUAUGUGGGGGUGGUGGCUGUGUGUGUUUAUUCAGAUUAAGACAGGAACAAACAUAUAUUAUUACGAUGUGUGUUUGGGGGGUGGGUGGUGUGGCUUUAAUCUUCAGCUUCAUCUGAUAUGUGGUUCCAUAAUGGAUUCAAGCAAACACAUGCCUUUCUCAA